ACUGCCCCACCCCCCCAAAGGUGUCACACGUGUCAGUAGAUGGCAGAGUGGAGAAGGGCUAUGUCUAUAUCAGUGUUCUGACCUAUGAACAUCUGAAUGAUUAGUAGCCUAACAUC
ensembl:snoRNA